UAACAGUUGCGAGAAAUUACUUGUGUAAAAUUUUCAAUUUUAAAGGUUUCGAGUAGGUUAAUUUAACGACGUAUUUAUUUUCUCCCUGGUGGUCCACCGGUGCGUUUCGUUUGUUUAUAGGAGUUUUUUUUUGUUUUUGCGCUAAAAACAUCGGUCGAAUUUGGAAUGUCUGGCUCUUUUAGCUGGAUUUGGUUGGUAAUCGAUUUCAACUCCGGUAGUGGUGGUAGGUAGUUUUGUUUUCUUCCACAAAGCAAACGAAAAAUCCCCAAAAUAAGAAGUUGAAGUGUGCGGAAACUCUCUGUUUUUCUUCAUUGCGCAUGAAUUGUUUAAAAUAUCUUUUUCAGGACCUAACAGCUCCACAAUCUCACCAAUGCACCGCUACCUGACGGAAUCAUCUCCAAGUUUUGUCUGUUCCCUAUCGGUGUUUCGGUCGAGAACUUAGCCAGUAUGCCCAGGUUGAUGGAUCAUGAGUGAUAUGCAGUGUAACAGACCGACCUGAUUCAGGCAUUAAUUGCCCUAACCCAGACCGUCAAAACCAUCAAUGGGAAACAGCAGAGCAGAAUGCGCUUACAUAAUUGUAAAAGCUGACAAACAGCAUAAAUUUGCCGGUGAAACAGUAAAGAUUUCUCCUGGUCUGUUUACGAUGCUAUCGGUUUUUUUACUAGACAGCUCUACAAGUACAACUCGGAGUGAACUAGAUCGGAUAACCUAUCGGUCUAUAAAAAGGAUGAAGCGAAGAAAGAAAUAAAAUCACUGGUGCGAUUUAACGGCAAUGCUGACUAACGUAAUCAUCGUAACUUCCGGGUGGCAGGAGACAUCAUUUGGAAGAUCAUGUUCAUAUUCAUAAACAAAUAAAAAAAUUACCAAUAUAAAGAAUAAUAUUAAAAGUAACCGAACAGCAUUCGGCAAGGCAAUCGGAAACCGAUAUCACCGAAGCGAACACUUCGGAAGCUAUUAUGAUGAAAAAAGUUCCCGUUCGUGGCUUAAAAGUUCCUGACGAUGAGGUGGUGUGAAACGAUUAUUCUUGUCAAAUAUAGAAGCCCAAGGUGCGUUAACGAGCUAGCUGUAUCAUGCAAAUGAAUUUCAUUCUCAAAUACAUAACAACAAAUCGGUGUCGGAAAACCGGCUGCGUUUUUCCAACCGCAUAACAAACCUCUCGUCAGCUUUAAGCCACGUAUGCAGAAUCAACUCUAAUAACCUUAAGCAAUCAAGUAUCGGAGGAUUUACGAGCGCAGUACGGCCAGUGAUGAUACUUCCAACACGGAACAAAAACGGACGAGGAGGUUGAUGAAUAAAAAUUCUAUCAUUAAGGACACCAUCAUCGAUGACCACGGAAAAAGGAUAAGGAGUAAAAAUUUCAAACGUCGUCGAAGAUGUCAGAGUCACCUGCAAACUGUAACUUCCUGGCUAAGACGACGACAUAAGAGAUGAAACAAAAUAUAAAGAGGAUUAAAUUGUGAACCUGGUCCAUAAAAUAGACAUAUUAAGAGACAAUCAGCAGCAUGACAACAGAUUCAAAGCAAUCUCGAGUGACGGAUUUUAAGAUUAUCGUUCUGGAUCACGUGUCACUAGAUAAAGAUCACACUUUGGUUUCGAUAGAUUCAUACUGGUUGCUGUUCUACGAACUUACUUAGAGAUCAAUAUACUGUGUUAUAGUUGUGUUUUUAUCCGUACCCUAGGCUGUAAUGGGUCACGGCGACGGCGUGCAUUACUGUGUUUAUGGAAGUUGAAGGUUUGGAAACAGACUCUAAACUAACAUAAACCUGAGAGGGCGGUUGCACGUAGCCUUAUUCGAUAUGAGAUCAUAGAAAAUAAAUUAAAAGGUGAUUCAAUAUCGUAUACUUUUUCUUUGAUGAUCCAUGUUGAUAAGGUGAAUGGGAGUUGAAACACUUGCCCUCCCUUCCG